rnacentral:rRNA from 1 species
CAAGUACCGUGAGGGAAAGUUGAAAAGAACUUUGAAGAGAGAGUUCAUAAGAAUGUGAAGCCGCUAGGAGCUUAAACGGGUGGAACUGCGAAGGACGAACGAGGGUAUUCACCUCGUCGGGGGGACGGGACCGGGGCGCUCCUACAGGCCGGCGCCAAGAGCAAACCCAAGCGAGCGCGGGAGUGCCCCAUGAGUGUCCGACAGACAGGUCCCUGCCGGCGGGCGUACUUGUCCCCUCCAGUAGUGAGACGCAGCGAGCCGUCUGGAAGGAGCCAGGAGGGCCGAUCCACGUCGCGUCCGGACUGGUACCCUCGGUCAGGAGGGGAAACCGGCGCGCGCUGCUCGAAGACUGGCUCCGGAGACGGCGCACUCCCAGGGGGCCGCCCGCCUGUAUGCUAGACAGGGGGCCCCUCGCUGUGAAGUAGCGGUGAUCCACCUGACCCGUCUUGAAACACGGACCAAGGAGUCUAACCUGUGCGCGAGUCUAAGGGUUUGUGGUGAGACCCGGAGGCGCAAUGAAAGUGAGCGAGCGCAGGCUCUAAGCUGGCCGAUCCCCGGCACACGUGCCGGGGCGCAGGCCGAGGACUCGCCGCCCGGCGGCCGUCUGCUCUGGCCUCCCCGGCCCG